rnacentral:rRNA from 1 species
UACGUAGGGGGCAAGCGUUGUCCGGAUUUAUUGGGCGUAAAGGGCUCGUAGGCGGUCUGUUGCGUCAGGAGUGAAACUCGGGGCUUAACCCCGAGCCUGCUUCUGAUACGGGCAGACUAGAGGUAUGCAGGGGAGAACGGAAUUCCUGGUGUAGCGGUGAAAUGCGCAGAUAUCAGGAAGAACACCCGUGGCUAAGGCGGCUCUCUAGUACGGUACUGACGCUGAGACGCGAAAGCGUGGGGAGCGAACAGG